GGAGUAGGCGGCUCGUCGGCGGCGGGCACCAGCGCGACUCGGCAGCACGGCAGCGCCCGAGCAAUCGUAGUCGAGUGUGGUCGUUGUCAUUAAUUUCGUCGUCGUCUCGCCCCCGUAGCACGCUUACACCGCGCACGCGGUCACACUCGUCGCUAGUCGCUCGUCAGUCGGCUGUAGCCAGGACGCGCAACGUCCGCACGCGUGCGCUAGUCCGGUCGCGGUUUUUGCGGCGGAAAUAAUAAUUUUUUUUAGCUUUUCGUUUUUCUCCCUCUCUUUUUCGCAAACACGCGACUGUAACAAUAAUUACGCUGAUAAUAAUGAUAAUAUUCAAAACAAACUGCGAAUAAUAAUAACAAACAAUUAUUGCUGCGCGCAAUGAGUUCCGUCGGGAAACCGUCCGAACAGUCGUUUUACUUACACCGUCGGCGUGCCGUCUCCAUCAUCGCGCGAACGAUUUCCUCCGAGUUUGGACACAACUAGUGAACGAUACUGUCGUCGCCGCCACCACCACCACUACUACUACCACCAUCACACCACCACCACCACCACCACCACCACCAAUAACAACAACAAAAGUCACAUGGUUCUCACGCCACGACCGCCUUCGUCAAGCAUUAGUUAACACUUAACACGCGGUCCAGUCUCGUUCGUCUCCACGAAAAUAUUCACGAUGGAUGGCAAAAUCAAGAAACUCUACAAAAUUGUACUGACCGGCGGCCCAUGUGGCGGUAAGACAACGGGACAGUCACGACUAUGUACAUUCUUUGAGAAUUUAGGUUGGAAGGUUUACAGAGUUCCCGAGACUGCCAAUGUUCUAUUAAGUGGAGGUAUCAAAUUUUCGGAAUUAAGUGACGAUGAAGCCCAUAAAUUUCAAGAGAACCUUCUUAGAUGUAUGUUACAAAUAGAAAACACGUUUUUUGAACUGGGCGAAUCAUGCGACCAAGACUGUCUAAUCAUUUGUGACAGAGGUGCUAUGGAUGCUGCCGCGUAUAUACCAAGUAAUAAAUGGGAUCUGAUAAUGAAAGAAAAUGGUUUGAAUAUGGUUGAUUUAAGAGAUAAUCGUUACAAUCAAAUAAUUCACAUGGUGUCUGCUGCAUGUGGAGCUGAAGACUUUUAUACAACUGAGGAUCAUACUAGCAGGAGAGAGGAUGUUUCUCUUGCUAAAAGUCUUGAUGUCAAAGCGUCAGCAUCAUGGAUCGGGCAUCCAUACUUCGAUGUUAUUGAUAAUUCAUCUGAUUUUGAAAAUAAAAUAUGUAGAAUGAUAGCUGCGGUUUGUCAGAAAUUGGGCCUGGACACUGGGGAUAGAUUAGCUACUAACUCAAAAAAACGUAAAUGGUUAGUGAAAUAUCUGCCCGAUGAUUCGUUGUUCCCUCCAUUUCAAGAUUUUGAUGUUGUACAUAAUUACUUGCAGACAUAUACUAAAAAUAUGCAAGCUCGUUUAAGAAAACGAGGACAAAAAGGCCAUUGGAAUUAUACACAUACAAUUCGCAGACCUAGAGUCCGUGGUCAAGUAAUAGAAGUGAAAACACAGCUCAGUCACAGAGACUAUGUGAAUCUAUUGUCACAAAAAGAUGAAACCCACUAUCCAAUCUAUAAAAAAAGACGAUGUUUUAUACACUACAAUCAGUAUUUCCAGCUGGACAUUUAUUGUAAACCUUGUCAUAAAAGGUGUGAAGGGUUAGUGUUACUUGAGACUUAUUCUGCUCUCGAGGACCAAAAGCUGCUUGACCGUUUACCAAAAUUCCUAGACAUUGAAUCGGAAGUUACUGGUAACGCAGCGUAUUCCAUGUUCAACUUGUCACUCGUUGAAGAUUGGGACAAGUCAAAAAAUUUUUGUCACUACUUGAAAGUGUACGACCGCUUCGACGGCGUCCCGCAAAUUAAUGGAGUACCCGACCACGUCGAGAACACGAACAUGCAAUAAUAAUUAUUUUGUUCGGAGAACCGUUUCCGCAAAAGGUUUUGGGCAGUGCAGGAAAGACGCAAAGAAAAGAUUUCGUCACGAUUCGCGACUCGACAGAUAGAAUAUUCGCGGACUCGCGAUCACCGAUACAUUUCAGUCUGUCGAAUCCCACUCGAAUCAUCUGCAAGGCUUCACUGCCCCAGUACUUGAACAAGUUGAACAUUUAUUUCCUACCCGUCUGUAAGAUGAGGUUGUCGGAGGAACAUACGACUUAAGACUUCUGUAAUUAAUGGGACACUUACGGCGGUAAACCAAAUAAAUACGUAUCUAAGUACUAUUUAUAUGGAUAAUGUAUUUUAUACAAUUUGUCAAUAUUGUUAUAUUACUAACAUUUGAGUAUGUUAACCUCAAUACAUAAGUAAAUAAUGCGUUUAUUACACCUACCUUUAAUAUAAUCCGUGU